rnacentral:rRNA from 1 species
AGGGCACCACCAGGAGUGGAGCCUGCGGCUUAAUUUGACUCAACACGGGAAAACUCACCCGGCCCGGACACUGGAAGGAUUGACAGAUUGAGAGCUCUUUCUUGAUUCAGUGGGUGGUGGUGCAUGGCCGUUCUUAGUUGGUGGAGUGAUUUGUCUGGUUAAUUCCGAUAACGAACGAGACUCUAGCCUACUAAAUAGAUCGUCGGCUUACAAACGCCGACGAGACCUCUUAGAGGGACAGGCGGUGAUUCAACCGCACGAAACAGAGCAAUAACAGGUCUGUGAUGCCCUUAGAUGUCCGGGGCCGCACGCGCGCUACACUGAAGUGAUCAGCGUGCUUUUGUCAACCUACUCUGUCAAGAGUGGGGAACCCAAUGAACCUUCUUCGUGAUUGGGAUAGGGGAUUGUAAUUAUUCCCCUUGAACGAGGAAUUCCCAGUAAGCGCGAGUCAUAAGCUCGCGUUGAUUACGUCCCUGCCCUUUGUACACACCGCCCGUCGCUACUACCGAUUGAAUGUUU